rnacentral:rRNA from 1 species
CGUAGGUGGCAAGCGUUGUCCGGAUUUAUUGGGUUUAAAGGGUGCGUAGGCGGUCUUGUAAGUCAGUGGUGAAAUACGGCAGCUUAACUGUCGAGGUGCCAUUGAUACUGCAGGACUUGAGUACAGACGAGGUAGGCGGAAUUGACGGUGUAGCGGUGAAAUGCUUAGAUAUCGUCAAGAACACCGAUAGCGAAGGCAGCUUACUAGACUGUAACUGACGCUGAUGCACGAAAGUGUGGGGAUCAAACAGGAUUAGAUACCCUGGUAGUCCACACUGUAAACGAUGAUUACUCAAUGUUGGCGAUACACAGCCAGCGUCUUAGCGAAAGCGAUAAGUAAUCCACCUGGGGAGUACGCCGGCAACGGUG